rnacentral:rRNA from 1 species
UACGAAGGGGGCUAGCGUUGUUCGGAAUUACUGGGCGUAAAGCGUAUGCAGGCGGACUUUUAAGUCGGGGGUGAAAUCCCGAGGCUCAACCUCGGAACUGCCUUCGAUACUGGAAGUCUUGAGUCCGGGAGAGGUGAGUGGAACUCCGAGUGUAGAGGUGAAAUUCGUAGAUAUUCGGAAGAACACCAGUGGCGAAGGCGGCUCACUGGCCCGGUACUGACGCUGAGAUACGAAAGCGUGGGGAGCAAAUGGG